rnacentral:lncRNA from 1 species
GGGGUGAAUUUGGGACAUUUUGGGCUGAAAUUUGGGAUGAAUUUGGGAAAUUCCCGUCCAGGAUCACGGCGCCGACGCCCUGGAGGUGCUGGAUGAAUUCCUGGAAUCCCAUCCCGAAUCUGUGAUCCCUCACCUGCGGCCCCUGCUGGAGCUCUGCCUCCAGGUGGCUGGGGACGAGUGCAGGGGCGACGCCGUCAGGGUCCGGGCCUUGGCCACGCUGACGUUCCUGGCCCAGAAGAGACCCAGGGCCCUGCUCCGGGGGGGGCUCCUGGCCCUGCUCCUCCGGGGGCUCCUGGUCCCACUUUGUGCCGAAAUUCGGCCGGAAAAUCCCGAACCCGAGGAGAGCUGGGAGGGGGAGGGGCGGCCCUGCCCCCGCCACGGCGCCGCGCAGGUACCGGAAUUCCCGGAAUUCCCAAAAUUCCCAAAAUUCCCAAAAUUCCCAAAAAAACCCCAAAGUUCUGAGACAUUGCCCUGAUUUUUUAGGGUUUUUUUCCCAUUUUAUUUGGAUUUUUUUCUCUUUUUUUUCCCAUUUUUUUCUGAUUUUUUUUUCCCAUUUUAUUUGGAUUUUUCCCCAUUUUCCCCCAUUUUAUUUGGAUUUUUUUCCCUCGUUUUUUCCUAUUUUACUUGGAAUUUUCCCCCUUUUUUUUCC